GUCGAGAAUUUUUCACAAUGGGCGAAAGCCUGAUGGAGCGACGCCGCGUGGGGGAUGAAUGGCUUCGGCCCGUAAACCCCUGUCAUUCGUGACCAAGGCCGGCGACCUAAUACGUUGCCGGUUGAUAGUAGCGAAAGAGGAAGGGACGGCUAACUCUGUGCCAGCAGCCGCGGUAAUACAGAGGUCCCAAGCGUUGUUCGGAUUCACUGGGCGUAAAGGGUGCGUAGGUGGUGAGGUAAGUUUGGUGUGAAAGCCCCGGGCCCAACCCGGGAACGGCACCGAAGACUAUCUCGCUGGAGGGUCGGAGGGGAGACUGGAAUUCUCGGUGUAGCAGUGAAAUGCGUAGAUAUCGAGAGGAACACCAGUGGCGAAGGCGAGUCUCUGGACGACUCCUGACACUGAGGCACGAAAGCUAGGGGAGCAAACAGGAUUAGAAACCCUUGUAGUCC
rnacentral:rRNA from 1 species